GUCGAUUGGGUGUGUUGGCAUACUAAUUUUUCGUGUUAGAGGAAUCUGUUGGGA
rnacentral:tRNA from 1 species